CGAUAAAGCCUUACAAAUUAAGCAAUCUGCUUUAUAACAUCAAAUGAUGAAACUAAACUUACUAAUAACCUGGAUUUUUGGGGGCAUAGACGGGCGAAAGGCCCGAAAAUAAAAGGCAGAGAACGGUAGCGAUACGAACGACAACAAACAACAUACUUCUCCGAUGACGGUCCAUCAGCUUCAUAGCAAUGUUCUUCAGUAUCUUUGUUUCUGGUGCUUGUUGAUUUGAUUUGC
rnacentral:lncRNA from 1 species